rnacentral:rRNA from 1 species
CCCUACGGGACGCAGCAGUGGGGAAUAUUGCACAAUGGAGGAAACCCUGAUGCAGCGACGCCGCGUGAGUGAAGAAGUAUUUCGGUAUGUAAAGCUCUAUCAGCAGGGAAGAAAAUGACGGUACCUGACCAAGAAGCCCCGGCUAACUACGUGCCAGCAGCCGCGGUAAUACGUAGGGGGCAAGCGUUAUCCGGAUUUACUGGGUGUAAAGGGAGCGUAGACGGCCAUGCAAGUCUGAUGUGAAAACCCGGGGCUCAACCCCGGGACUGCAUUGGAAACUGUGCGGCUGGAGUGUCGGAGAGGCA